UCCCUCUUACACCCAUUAUUGAUACCUGCAUCAUUCUUCACGUAAAUCCAGAUGGUUUUCUGUGACAAAUCCGUUUUAGGCCAUGCCAAAUGGACCACUAUGAGAUCACACUAGAGUUGAUAUGGAAAAGCGGCUCUGAGUGAGCGAGCUGGAAGAGAGGCAUUUGUCCCAGACAGAUGAAGAAGGGCAGGGCAGAAGGGGCACAGACACACGAGUCCCCUGUUCCCAGAGGAAAUUGCAAUGAGCCCAGACAGCUGAGAAAGCUCAGUGGGGAAGAAGCCGCUGAGCUCGCCAAUGGGCAGCACGGGGUGUGCAGCAGAGCUGGCGAUUGCAGCUGCGGAGGUGAGGAGUGCAGUGCGAGCUGAGCGGGAAGAGCCCCUUGCCAUGGCUGAGGCCGCAGAGGCACGGAAUGCUCCGAAUGCCAGUGGCUGAGGGAGCCACGGCGGCUGCUGCUGGACGAGCGAGAAACGCAGCAGGAGCAUUUCAGGCACGGCAAGGACAGGCCAUUGCUCUGCCUGCUGCCGCUGCUGCUCCCGCUGCUCCCGCACACAGUCGUUUCCGGCACCUCUGUUCUCUCGCCGCUGCGACGUGCUUUCUGCCUCUUCCUCACUCAGCAAACACGCAGCUUGCUCUCGCCAUGCACCUCGCACAUCUCAUCCUCACCGUCUUCCUGGCACAGCUCCUCGGCACCACGGGGCAGAUCACGGUCACCCAGGAAGAUGCACAAGUCACAGUGAAGCAGGGACAUCCCUUCCACACCACCUGCAAAUACCAGACAAGUAUUACUGCCUUGCACUGGUACCAGAUGCGGAAAGGCCAAGCCCCCCAGCUGGUCUCCUAUCAAUCAGGGACUGGCCCCAGGCACAGCGGCCGGAUCACCACGCACCUGAACACCACGGGCAAAUACAGUGUCCUGAAGGUGGAGGAAGUGCAGGUGUCUGACAGUGCCUUGUACCUGUGUGCUGUGCAAGACACCCUGGUGCAGGGAGCUUGCUCGGCUGUGUAACAACCCAGGGGAGCGAGGGGAUGUGUCAGUGC